ACAUGCUUACAACAUAGCAUUAAUGCAUCAGAUCCCAUCAGAACUCCGUAGUUAAGAAUGCUCGGGCUAGAGCAGUACUAGGAUGAGUGUCUGCCUAGGAAGUCCUAGUGUUUUACAUGCC
rnacentral:rRNA from 1 species